GUGUGGGAGUCUUGCAUUGUGGCACGUGGGCAUCUCUAGUUGUGGUGUACAGGCUCAGUGGUUGCAGCACCCAGGCUUAGCUGCCCCACAGAGUGUAGGAUCUUAGUUCCCCAACAAGGGAUGGAACCUGAGUCCCUUGCCUUGUAUGGUGGAUUCUUAGCCCCUUGAGCACCAGGGAGUCUCUCUUAAUCUUUCAAGGCUUACAUUUCCUCUUCUAUAAAAUUGGGAAGAUAAUAAUAGUGCCCAAUAGUCCCCCAAUAAUAAUAAUGGGGGUUGUUUAUGAAGGUUAAGUGAGAUCAGCAAACUACAUAGAAACAUACGUGUUGCAAAGUCAGCACUAAAUAAACAUUGUUAGUUACGGUUUAAAGGCUACACAUUUGGAAUAUUGAUAUAAGAAUGAAGACCAGAUUGACUAAUUAUUAGUUGUUAAUCUUAUAUGUAAUAUAAUACUGACUAGUUGUUAAUAUCACCAGUGAAACUAAUAACUGAUACUUGAAUAGUGUUUUAUGGCUAAGAAAAUAUUUUCAUACACGUAUAUUACUUCCUUGAGCACUUUAAACUUGAAGUUCCCCAACUGACCUUUUUGUCCGUUCUUAGAGACUUUCGUUAUCAGUACUGAGAGGAAAUCCACGUAUUUAUCAGUAAUCAAACAGAAAUAGAAUUGGGGGCCCAUGUAGUUGGCAGGUUCGUAAGAUGAGGCCGAGAUCACACUGCUGAGUGCAGGCAGGCUUGGAACCAUCUCCAGGAACCUCAGCGGUACUUCCAACAGCACUGGCGUCACUCUUUGGCCAUCCUCACAGGGUGGUGGCAGAAAUGUCGCCGGAGACUCUAGAUUUCUGGCAAUACUAUUUGGGAACAGCUUGGGUUGCAGUGUAUGCCUCUCCACGACCCACUGACAGUGUGCAGUAACCUCCUGACUGACUGGGCCUGCAUCGCCCAGUCAGGUCACCCUGAGAUUUCAUGAUGGGAGAGUGUCCCUAAAAAGAUUCCAAGCAAGCAGAUAGACAUAGAC
rnacentral:lncRNA from 1 species